GUGCCAGCAGCCGCGGUAAUACGUAGGGGGCGAGCGUUGUCCGGAUUUACUGGGCGUAAAGCGCGUGUAGGCGGCUGCCUAAGUGGGGUGUGAAAGCCCGGGGCUCAACCCCGGGACGCCGCCCCAAACUGGGUGGCUUGAGGACGGAAGAGGGGAGUGGAAUUCCUGGUGUAGCGGUGAAAUGCGUAGAGAUCAGGAGGAACACCCGUGGCGAAGGCGGCUCCCUGGUCCGUCCCUGACGCUGAGACGCGAAAGCGCGGGGAGCGAACGGGAUUAGAUACCCCGGUAGUCCGCGCCGUAAACGAUGGUCACUAGGUGUACGCGGUAUCGACCCCGCGUGUGCCGCCGCUAACGCAGUAAGUGACCCGCCUGGGGAGUACGGCCGCAAGGUUGAAACUCAAAGGAAUUGACGG
rnacentral:rRNA from 1 species